AGGGAAUAGAUACCCUGGUAGUCCUGGCCCUAAACGAUGUCGACUAGAUCAUGGCGCCUCUGACGGUGUCAUGGUCGAAGCAAAAGUGCUAAGUCGACCGCCUGGGAAGUACGGUCGCAAGGCUAAAACUCAAAGGAAUUGACGGGGGCUCACACAAGCGGUGGAGCAUGUGGUUCAAUUCGAAGCAACGCGCAGAACCUUACCUGGGCUUGACAUGCUUGGAUUAUCCCUGUGAAAGCAGGGUAGGCCCUUCGGGGUACAACAAGUACAGGUGCUGCAUGGCUGUCGUCAGCUCGUGUCGUGAGAUGUCGGGUUAAGUCCCUUAACGAGCGAAACCUUUGCCCUUAGUUACCAGCGAGUAAAGUCGGGGACUCUAAGGGGACUGCCGGUGUCAAACCGGAGGAAGGUGGAGAUGACGUCAAGUCCUCAUGGCC
rnacentral:rRNA from 1 species